rnacentral:rRNA from 1 species
AUUGAACGCUGGUGGCAGGCCUAACACAUGCAAGUCGAGCGAGCGGCGGACGGGUGAGUAAUGUCUGGGAAACUGCCUGAUGGAGGGGGAUAACUACUGGAAACGGUAGCUAAUACCGCAUACCAUCAGAUGUGCCCAGAUGGGAUUAGCUAGUAGGGGGGGUAACGGCUCAACUAGGCGACAAUCCCUAGCUGGUCUGAGAGGAUGACCAGCGACACGGGAACUGAGAAACGGUCCAGACUCCUACGGGAGGCAGCAGUGGGGAAUAUUGCACAAUGGGCGAAAGCCUGAUGCAGCCAUGCCGCGUGUGUGAAGAAGGCCUUCGGGUUGUAAAGCACUUUCAGCGGGGAGGCGUUACCCGCAGAAGAAGCACCGGCUAACUCCGUGCCAGCCGCCGCGGUAAUUC